rnacentral:sRNA from 1 species
UAAGAAAACAAAACGUUCCUGAAGGUAGC